GAGCCCCGGAGCGCCCCGGCAGCCCCCCCGCCCAUGGAGCUGGCCCCGCAUUUGCAUCCCAACUUUUUUUAACUCUCCCACGUACACUUUACGUAUCGGCUACGUGGAGGCUCCGCGGCCGCUCCUAUAUAUCCUUACGCCGGGCACGGCCCCCGCUCCUCCGGCGGCUCCGGGCUCGGGGCCACCGCCGAGAGCCGCGGGCGGCGGGGCCGGGGCGAGCCGGGCAGGUGAGGGCAGGGCAGGGCAGGGCAGAGAGGGCAGGGGAGCGAGGGCACAGAGCCGUGCCAGGCUGGCAUGCAGGGCAGCGAAGGCAGGGCAGCGGUCCGGGCUGGCGAGCAGCGAGGGAGGCCAGCGCAGGCGGGACCCACCGGCCGCCGGGCGCAUCCCCGGCCGCCCCCAGGUGGGUGAAGAAGCCGGGGUAACCCCGGCGAAAGAAGCGAGCCCCGGGGUGCCGAGCAUCGCCCGCCCACCCCCGCCCCGCGCUGGCGGCCGGGCCGGGGCGCGGAGCCCCCGCGGAGCCCCCGCAGCUCCCGCGCCCCGCGCAGCCGGACAAACAAUGUGAGACUUGGCGGAACAAAAGCGGCGGGGCUUGGGUUGCUGAACACGUCUGAGGCCAGACGAGCCGCGCGAUUUAUUGGACUCGGAGAGCCCCGGCUCCGGCUCCGGGCCCGGCCCCGCUCUGCCCACGGAGGAGAAGCCGCGGCCCAGGCUGGACGUGGGUUCACCCUACCUGUUGCUCAUUUUCUGGCUGAUGAAUUGUAGGUCUCUGGUCAUGAGAGUUCACUGGGCAUAUCCUGAGCCUGGCCUGGAGCAUGAUGCGAUCCUGAUUUACAGCAGAGCCUGUCCAGGCUGCCCAGGGCUGCUGACCAGCACCGGGGGACACAGCCAGGCUGCAGAGGACACCGGGACGUGCCCACCCUGCCCACUGCACUGCGGGCCACUCGCCGGUGAAGAACGGAAGGCUGGAAGAAUAGGAAAAUUUUUUACAAAAAAGAAGAAAAGAAAGAAAAAGAGUCGCCAACCCCAGGAAAUCUGUGUUAAUUGCUUAUGAAUGUCUCUGUCUAAAAAAUUAUCGAAUUGAUGUUGUCGUGCUUUUUUUUGACAGCCUGUCUGUUACAUUUUUUUAAAAUAUUCAUGCACCGAAAUCUAAUUACUAGGCAAAUUUAAUGAUAAUGAAAUGAAGGCACUUUAGCAGAAAGCAUAGGGCCUUGUUAAUGUUUUCUCAGCCUCUGUCUUGUUCAUAUUUUUAAAAUUAUUUUUUUUACAACUGUCUUUCUUCCAUAUGAAAAAAAAAAGAUUGCUGAAAAUAAAACUCAGAUUGCCGAUAAUGUUUGUGGUGGU
rnacentral:lncRNA from 1 species